rnacentral:lncRNA from 1 species
AUCUCUGCCACCUCCCCUCUUCCACACUGGCCAUCCAGUCUUGCCUGUCUGGGCUCGUUCUGUGCUUUUUACCUGUCAUUCUCACAGAGACUUGAUGUCUGUAGAGUGUUCUAUGAAACCAAAUAGUGUGGGAGCAGACUGAGUUACUGCAUCUGUGCUGCUUAACAGGGACCCUCAAGUAUAGUAACAGGUAUCUGUCAAAUUUGUCAUACUUUUGAUUCUUUGUGUCUAUAACAGCAAUCCCUAUAUUAUUUUCAAUUCUUUUGGAGAGCAAAAAAAUUGAGAGAUAGCAACGGAUUGAUUUUGAUACCACCAAAAACAGGCUCUUCAGUUACUGGAAGGAUAGAGAAGGAGGUACUUCAGUGGUGCAGACAAAUGUGGUGCAAGGAAUUUUUCUAUAUGAUUAGAGGCCUCUCCUCAUCAGAUCUUAUCUGGAAAUGA